rnacentral:lncRNA from 1 species
GCAAUCGUCCGGGCGCUGCAGGCCCGGAAUCCCCCCCCGAGGUUAGUGUCCGUUGUCGACACCUCGUUCCUCAGACCAUUGUUUGUAAUUCGUCACAGUAUCUAGUAGUAUCUAUCUAUUUGAUUGGUAGCAGUGCACAGCGUUGUCAAGUUUCGCGUAAAAUGUAUCAACUCGUCGACACUGUCGCUUGCAUCGAUAAGUCUCGAUAAACUGCAAGUACAGAAUUGCACCGACUCGCUAGUGUCGUUAGCGCAAGCGACAACUGUCGGUAGUUACCGAUAUCGAUACGUACCGAUAUCGAAGUACAGAAUCCCGCUACUGUAGGCCUAUUCUCUAACUCGUAACGGCAAUUGUCGUUAUCGUUACGUUACCGAUGGUCCUCGCUUGUUCUACCGAUAGGUUAACGAAUGGCGUAUUAUGUAACUGCUCCUAGUGACACUCUAUCGAUACAAAACGAGCUAAGGACAUCGUUACGCUAGCGACAAUGCCCUAUUCGGCAUAACUGUUUUCAACCAAUGAAAUUUUACGUUUUCUUAAGAUGAGUUUGUGAACACUGAAAGGUACCCAAUAAAAAUAGUGAUUCACAGCAGCGAAGUUCAAAGUUUUUCAAUAGCUCUUUAUUAAAAAGCAGUUUCAACACUACUUAAUGUAACCGUAUCUUAUAUUAGUAUUUGAAAUAGUCUUUUCUUUUAGUUGUACUUAAAUAGUAAAAUAAUUUCAUUACAGUUUAUAGGUUUAACAGGUUAGCUAUAGUAGCAUUUUAACAAUAGAAUAGCGUCUAGAGAACAAAGAACAAUAGAGAAGCUUUUUUUCUAUAUCACAGAAUAUUGGUAUUAAUUUCUGUAGUAAUUUUUUUACAUUACCUAUUUAGUUUUUAUUUACAGCAGUACUUUAAUACUAGAAUAGUUUUUGACAGUAGUAUUCUUCUAUUUAUUAUUAAUUGAAUUCGUGUUAAACUUAACAUUACUGCUGCUUCAGAUAAAUUUCUGACUGUUUUUUUAGUGUUCUUAAAAAAAAAAAAAAGAAGAAAUGGAAUUGUAAGUAAUUAUUGCAUGAUUAUAUAUAAUAUGUACUAACUUAUAAAUACUAAUGUGAAUGCAACUGUACUAUUUAUUUAAAAUAUGUAAACGUAUGUAAUUCAUUUUGUAGGUCAGUGAAGAAAAGUCGGCAAGGAAGAACCAAUCUUCGACAAAUCAAUGCCAUGAUAGACUACAUGGAAAAACAUCCCCAUGUAGCAAGAAAUAAAUUUACGACGCUACAUGGCAAAGAUAAUAUUAAAUGGAGUUGGAUCGCGAUGGCCGAUUAUUUAAACUCGUUAUCAAAUGACACCAAAGUGAAGGACGUUAAGUUUUGGAAAAUGACAUGGAGAGAUUAUAAAACAAAAGUAUUGUUACGUCCCACGUAACGUCACCCCUCCAACUACAUAUAUUAAUUAAGUUAAGCGUCGUAAUUAUUACUUUUCUCAAAUACUAUGUUACUAAUAUCGUGUUAUAUCGUCCUCGCUCGUCUGUCAAUUUUCUACCGAACACGUGUUAGCAAUGUGCUCAAAAUAGGUAACCGUCACCAUGCGAAAGGUGAUAAGAACGAGAAUCCCUUGUUCUUAAUCCUCUAGGACAACGAUGGCCCGGACCAGUGGUAGCCCAACUUAGGGCUUCGAACCUACAUUGGUAAAACAAGUAAGAAAACUGAUAAAAGUGGAUAAUGUUAAGUUGAGGGCAGUGUCCUCCCUCUACAAAAAAUUUGGAGACAAUGCAGUUUAGGAACAGUAUAAAAAGGGACGCACCUAUGCACCCUCGCUUAGUGUCAGUUUUGCGUUCAGUUGAGUUCAGUAACAAUUUAUCGAUAGAAGACGAGCGUCUCGCAGAGUUCCAGUUUUUUUACAAGUACGAGCGCGGAAGAAAAACCAGUCUUCUUAUUAUUCGAGGUACCAUAUUUUUUCUAUGUCUUAAUAAAUCAAUCAUUCACACUUAUAUGAACUUUUUCUUUUCUUCUCCCUUUUGAAAGGAGAAGCAACAACAAUAUCCAAUUUUUACUAUUCCUUCGAUAUAAGAGGGCGCGGGGCUUAGUCUAGCUUCCCUUCUUCAACUAAUUCCUAUUAUCCUCCAAAAGGAGUCCGGGCCUUGGCCUAGUUUCCCCUAUAAUUUAUAUAUUACAACCGUACUAGUAUUAAGCCUUCUUUUACCUAACACGCAGAUGGUCAGACGAUCUGGGAGAAAAUACCAACUCCUUGUAACUUUCGCCAAGGCAGGGGGUAGGCCUAAAUUUACAACCUGUAGGCGUCCACACGGAGGAUCGAGGAAAAAGGCCUAAGAGCAACCCCCGGCAGCACCCCCUUCACCUCCAGAGAGGGUUUUUUCAAUUUCUCCGGAGCGCCUCGAAAUCACCAAGGCGCUCCUCAAAACCUCCACUCCGAGGACAGUUCCUCGAUCCAAACCUCAUCGACUCACGAGCGUCGAAGUCCGUACCCCCAAUUGGGAACUUAUUCCCAUAGAUAUUCCCGAAUCUAGCGACUAUAACGCCCAGGCGUUGGUACCAGGGGACCCCAGAAACUCCAAGCCAAUUCUUAUAACCAUAGAGUGAAAUAAAUCAUCUUUAUCUACCUCAUAAAAAUAAUCAAUUCAUUUCUUCCCUCCCAGACGUAACAAUAUCCGAGAAAGUGCGGAAAUUAAGAAGCAAUAGAGCAUAGACGGGAAACAAAGCCAUCGACAUUAUUCUUAAUGAUUUGGAUAAACGUGUCUUAGGAAUCAUAGGCCACCAAUAUGCUUCAGGCGUAGACCCAUGCUCGGAUGCCUUUCUGGAAGAACACCUAAACGUUUUAGAAGAAUUAACUGCGGGGGUUACUACAGUUCUAAAAAUGUCACCAACUUGUAUCCAAUUUAAUGAUGAAGCUGAACAGUGGUUAGAGUACUUAGAAAAUGAAGUGCCGCCUGAUUUUCUGGUAAAUGAAGCCAAACAGUAGGUAGAACCUCUACCAGAGAAAAAAGCUAUCGAGUAAGAAAAUCUGCAAAGCAAACAGGAAAAACAGCAGGAAACGAAAAAAAUAAAAAC